rnacentral:rRNA from 1 species
GAGUUUGAUCCUGGCUCAGAUUGAACGCUGGCGGCAGGCCUAACACAUGCAAGUCGAACGGUAACAGGAACAGCUUGCUGUUUCGCUGACGAGUGGCGGACGGGUGAGUAAUGUCUGGGAAACUGCCUGAUGGAGGGGAUAACUACUGGAACGGUAGCUAAUACCGCAUAACGUCGCAAGACCAAAGAGGGGGACCCUCGGGCCUCUUGCCAUCGGAUGUGCCCAGAUGGAUUAGCUUGUUGGUGGGUAACGGCUCACCAAGGCGAUGAUACGUAGCCGAACUGAGAGGUUGAUCGGCCACA